GCGUUCAUGGUAUAAUGGUAGCACGACUGCCUUCCAAGCAUUAGACUCGGGUUCGAUUCCCGAUGAACGCA
rnacentral:tRNA from 1 species